rnacentral:rRNA from 1 species
GACGUAGGGCGCGAGCGUUGUCCGGAUUUAUUGGGCGUAAAGAGCUCGUAGGCGGCUUGUUGCGUCGGCCGUGAAAGCCCGGGGCUCAACUUCGGGCUUGCGGUCGAUACGGGCGGGCUAGAGUUCGGUAGGGGAGACUGGAAUUCCUGGUGUAGCGGUGAAAUGCGCAGAUAUCAGGAGGAACACCGGUGGCGAAGGCGGGUCUCUGGGCCGAUACUGACGCUGAGGAGCGAAAGCGUGGGGAGCGAACAGG